rnacentral:rRNA from 1 species
GGUUAAGCGACUAAGCGUACACGGUGGAUGCCCUGGCAGUCAGAGGCGAUGAAGGACGUGCUAAUCUGCGAAAAGCGUCGGUAAGGUGAUAUGAACCGUUACAGCCGGCGAUGUCCGAAUGGGGAAACCCAGUGCAAUUCGUUGCACUAUCGUUAACUGAAUACAUAGGUUAACGAGGCGAACCGGGGGAACUGAAACAUCUAAGUACCCCGAGGAAAAGAAAUCAACCGAGAUUCCCCCAGUAGCGGCGAGCGAACGGGGAGCAGCCCAGAGUCUGAAUCAGCUUGUGUGUUAGUGGAACGGUCUGGAAAGUCCGACGGUACAGGGUGAUAGUCCCGUACACCAAAAUGCACAGGUUGUGAACUCGAAGAGUAGGGCGGGACACGUGGUAUCCUGUCUGAAUAUGGGGGGACCAUCCUCCAAGGCUAAAUACUCCUGACUGACCGAUAGUGAACCAGUACCGUGAGGGAAAGGCGAAAAGAACCCCGGCGAGGGGAGUGAAAAAGAACCUGAAACCGUGUACGUACAAGCAGUGGGAGCACCUUCGGGUGUGACUGCGUACCUUUUGUAUAAUGGGUCAGCGACUUAUAUUCUGUAGCAAGGUUAACCGUAUAGGGGAGCCGCAGGGAAACCGAGUCUUAACUGGGCGUUAAGUUGCAGGGUAUAGACCCGAAACCCGGUGAUCUAGCCAUGGGCAGGUUGAAGGUUGGGUAACACUAACUGGAGGACCGAACCGACUAAUGUUGAAAAAUUAGCGGAUGACUUGUGGCUGGGGGUGAAAGGCCAAUCAAACCGGGAGAUAGCUGGUUCUCCCCGAAAGCUAUUUAGGUAGCGCCUCGUGAACUCAUCUUCGGGGGUAGAGCACUGUUUCGGCUAGGGGGUCAUCCCGACUUACCAACCCGAUGCAAACUACGAAUACCGAAGAAUGUUAUCACGGGAGACACACGGCGGGUGCUAACGUCCGUCGUGAAGAGGGAAACAACCCAGACCGCCAGCUAAGGUCCCAAAGUCACAGUUAAGUGGGAAACGAUGUGGGAAGGCACAGACAGCCAGGAUGUUGGCUUAGAAGCAGCCAUCAUUUAAAGAAAGCGUAAUAGCUCACUGGUCGAGUCGGCCUGCGCGGAAGAUGUAACGGGGCUAAACUGUGCACCGAAGCUGCGGCAGCGACACUAUGUGUUGUUGGGUAGGGGAGCGUUCUGUAAGCCUGCGAAGGUGGCCUGUGAGGGUUGCUGGAGGUAUCAGAAGUGCGAAUGCUGACAUAAGUAACGAUAAUGCGGGUGAAAAGCCCGCACGCCGGAAGACCAAGGGUUCCUGUCCAACGUUAAUCGGGGCAGGGUGAGUCGACCCCUAAGGCGAGGCCGAAAGGCGUAGUCGAUGGGAAACAGGUUAAUAUUCCUGUACUUGGUGUUACUGCGAAGGGGGGACGGAGAAGGCUAUGUUAGCCGGGCGACGGUUGUCCCGGUUUAAGCAUGUAGGCGGAGGUUCCAGGUAAAUCCGGUACCUUAUUAACGCUGAGGUGUGAUGACGAGGCACUACGGUGCUGAAGUAACAAAUGCCCUGCUUCCAGGAAAAGCCUCUAAGCAUCAGGUAACAUUAAAUCGUACCCCAAACCGACACAGGUGGUCAGGUAGAGAAUACCAAGGCGCUUGAGAGAACUCGGGUGAAGGAACUAGGCAAAAUGGUGCCGUAACUUCGGGAGAAGGCACGCUGAUAUGUAGGUGAAGCCCCUGCGGGUGGAGCUGAAAUCAGUCGAAGAUACCAGCUGGCUGCAACUGUUUAUUAAAAACACAGCACUGUGCAAACACGAAAGUGGACGUAUACGGUGUGACGCCUGCCCGGUGCCGGAAGGUUAAUUGAUGGGGUUAUCCGUAAGGAGAAGCUCUUGAUCGAAGCCCCGGUAAACGGCGGCCGUAACUAUAACGGUCCUAAGGUAGCGAAAUUCCUUGUCGGGUAAGUUCCGACCUGCACGAAUGGCGUAAUGAUGGCCAGGCUGUCUCCACCCGAGACUCAGUGAAAUUGAACUCGCUGUGAAGAUGCAGUGUACCCGCGGCAAGACGGAAAGACCCCGUGAACCUUUACUAUAGCUUGACACUGAACAUUGAGCCUUGAUGUGUAGGAUAGGUGGGAGGCUUUGAAGCGUGGACGCCAGUCUGCGUGGAGCCAACCUUGAAAUACCACCCUUUAAUGUUUGAUGUUCUAACGUUGGCCCCUAAUCGGGGUUGCGGACAGUGUCUGGUGGGUAGUUUGACUGGGGCGGUCUCCUCCCAAAGAGUAACGGAGGAGCACGAAGGUUAGCUAAUCCUGGUCGGACAUCAGGAGGUUAGUGCAAUGGCAUAAGCUAGCUUGACUGCGAGCGUGACGGCGCGAGCAGGUGCGAAAGCAGGUCAUAGUGAUCCGGUGGUUCUGAAUGGAAGGGCCAUCGCUCAACGGAUAAAAGGUACUCCGGGGAUAACAGGCUGAUACCGCCCAAGAGUUCAUAUCGACGGCGGUGUUUGGCACCUCGAUGUCGGCUCAUCACAUCCUGGGGCUGAAGUAGGUCCCAAGGGUAUGGCUGUUCGCCAUUUAAAGUGGUACGCGAGCUGGGUUUAGAACGUCGUGAGACAGUUCGGUCCCUAUCUGCCGUGGGCGCUGGAGAAUUGAGGGGGGCUGCUCCUAGUACGAGAGGACCGGAGUGGACGCAUCACUGGUGUUCGGGUUGUCAUGCCAAUGGCAUUGCCCGGUAGCUAAAUGCGGAAGAGAUAAGUGCUGAAAGCAUCUAAGCACGAAACUUGCCCCGAGAUGAGUUCUCCCUGAGACUUUAAGUCUCCUGAAGGAACGUUAAAGACGAUGACGUUGAUAGGUCGGGUGUGUAAGCGUAGCGAUACGUUGAGCUAACCGAUACUAAUGAACCGUGAGGCUUAACCUUACAACGCCGAAGGUGUUUUG